UGUAGAACUGUGGGCUGUAGCAUUACUCUGAUUUUCUGUCUGAUGAUGUCAGAGAAUGCUGGUAGUGUAAAGUUUUUUAUUUUAGGACUUAUUUGUACUCUGAAUUUUCAGGAACAGUCAAAGGAGUAGCAGCAAAGACACAAUAUUUUAGACCUGAGAAAUGCCUGAAAUGGGUAUUUUCCAAACUGCUCCCUAUAUGUACAGUUCAGUUUAACCACUGAUUGCCUUGUUAUUUUCUUACUAGGUUCUUUAUGAGACGCUGUUUUUCUGCUCCUUUGCUGUUGUGACCAGGCUGCAUUGACAGAGCAAGUUGGAUGAUACCAUCAGGGGCUCUUGCACUCUCCAUUUGAAUAUUGCAUAAUUAAUAGUGCUCUGCUUCUAAGGAUUUGAAUGGAGUCUUAGGGUCAUCUUGUCCUGUUGGAAUUUGCUAUGC
rnacentral:lncRNA from 1 species